rnacentral:rRNA from 1 species
GAUGAACGCUGGCGGCGUGCUUAACACAUGCAAGUCGAACGGUGAAGCAGGAGCUUGCUCCUGUGGAUCAGUGGCGAACGGGUGAGUAACACGUGAGCAAUCUGCCCUGGACUCUGGGAUAAGCGUUGGGAACGACGUCUAAUACCGGAUACGAGGCGUGGGGGCAUCCCCAACGCCUGGAAAGAAUUUCGGUCCAGGAUGAGCUCGCGGCCUAUCAGGUAGUUGGUGAGGUAAUGGCUUACCAAGGCGACGAUCUAUAGCUGUUCUGAGAGGAAGAUCAGCCACACUGGGACUGAGACACGGCCCAGACUCCUACGGGAGGCAGCAGUUAGGAAUAUUGGACAAUGGGCGCAAGUCUGAUCCAGCCAUGCCGCGUGAGUGAUGAAGGCCUUCGGGUUGUAAAGCUCUUUAGCCGACGAAUAUAAUGACUGUAGUCGGAGAAUAAGCCCCGGCUAACUUCGUGCCAGCCGCCGCCGUAAAAC